UUUCUCUCUUUUCUUUGCCUAAGCUGCACCUUCCCUUAGCCCAGCUAGUCUUCCUAUUCUUUUCUUUCUCUCCUCACGCUUGGGCCAGCAGCUAGCCCAUCAUCCAGGCAACAGCCCAAGCCUGCUCCUGUCUUGCACGCACGCCUGCUCGACUCCCUGAUUCUUUCUUCUUUCACGAGCACCAGCAGCAGCUCCAGAAACGCACGCACCUGUGCACGCCGCCACCUUGAUUUUCCCCUUCGAUUCUCUUGCUCCCUGUCGUUUAUCUGAAAACCGAAAUGGCCAAAUUAAUCUACAUCACCUGGUGAACUGAUUCAGCUUUCAACCAUCAGUUUCCUGUCUUCAAUUCCCCAGUGAUACGGACGCCCCGAGUGCCGGUUUUUGGCAUACGUUUCCUGAUCUCCCACCACAGCCCACAAAACAUAAUUCCUAUCGCGUCAUAUUGAGGCUCUUCGUCUCCUCCUUCGUUUCCUUUCCCAGAGUUUCAUCCAAGAACCAUUGUAGAGCCCGUGCUAUUAUCAUCUACCCCGCCGGCCGCCGUCACCAUUCUUGAUGGUGUUACCACGAGGUUAUGCAUCAAACCUGAACCGUUGGCUGCGUCGUCCCUGAGCUCGCAGCCCACAACACUGUCACGGACGCCGCCGGCUGUUCCCGCUGAACCGGAGCCCCGCAGGCUGCAAUCUCGCGCCAGGAGCAGAGCCUCAACGCAGCAGAGUCACCGCCCUAACCCGCAGCCCGGCAGAACAACCACGUGGGACGGAUUUCAUUCAUCUUUGUCAACUUCGGUCGUCGCGUUCAUGGCACGAUUUCUUCCCCUUCGGUGUUCUCAAAUCCAUGCCGAUCCCGACCGACACGGUCAUGCCAUACACAUCCUAUACCUAGUUGCUGUAAAAUUCAUUCGUGUCACUCAAUUAUAUUCAUCUCCAGUAGACUAGAACAGGAGACGGAUCCUCCAUCCGAUGACCGGAGCUCCGACAACUUCAAUGCCAUCUUGUUUAUGACCAAUAUUGUCAUGCUCUUCCAUGUUCAGUCCA